CUUGGCAGUUAAUCAUAGUCUUGCACCUAACUGUUGCUUUGCUUGCAGUUUAUGAGAGAAGAGACUCACCUAUGAAAGGAUUGUGUCCCUUCAAUCCAAGGCAUCAUCCUAAGCUGCAGAGAGACUGGAUCUGGCUUUUUGAGCAGUUAACUGGGUCUUACACUUCCGGCUCACAAGUACUCAUGUCCUUGUGUUCAUUCAG
rnacentral:lncRNA from 1 species